rnacentral:rRNA from 1 species
CUCCUCAUGCACUAACGUGCGAAGGGGUUACCUCGAGUGCUACCUGAAGAAGGUGGCUUUUCCAUUGUCUAAAAAGCAUAGGGAAUAAGAGGGGGGCAAGACUGGUGUCAGCCGCCGCGGUAACACCAGCCCCUCGAGUGGUGGGGAUGAUUAUUUGGCCUAAAGCGUCCGUAGCCGGCUAGGUAAGUUUCCCGUUAAAUCCAACGUCUCAAGCGUUGGACUGCGGGAAAUACUGCCUGGCUAGAGAGUGGGAGAGGUCAGCGGUAUUCUGGGGGUAGGGGCGAAAUCCUUUGAUCCCCGGAGGACCACCAGUGGCGAAGGCUGCUGACUAGAACACGUCUGACGGUCAGGGACGAAAGCUGGGGUAGCGAACCGGAUUAGAUACCCGGGUAGUCCCAGCCGUAAACGAUGCAUGCUAGGUGUUGGGUUGGCCACGAGCCACCCCAGUGCCGCAGGGAAGCCGUUAAGCAUGCCGCCUGGGAAGUACGAUCGCAAGAUUGAAACUUAAAGGAAUUGGCGGGGGAGCAC